rnacentral:rRNA from 1 species
GCCGUUGUUUCUUGGAUCUCUUCUCUACUUGGAUAACUGUGGUAAUUCUAGAGCUAAUACAUGCAACCAAGCUCCGAUCGUGAGUGACGAGCGCUUUUAUUAGACCAAAACCAUCCGGCCUCUGGCCGUUCUUUGGUGACUCUGAAUAACCUAGCAGAUCGCAUGGGCUUGUCCCGGCGACAAAUCUUUCAAGUGUCUGCCUUAUCAACUUUCGAUGGUAGUUUAUGUGACUACCAUGGUUGUGACGGGUAACGGAGGAUCAGGGUCUGACUCCGGAGAGGGAGCCUGAGAAACGGCUACCACUUCUAAGGAAGGCAGCAGGCGCGCAAAUUACCCAUUCUCAGAACGAGGAGGUAGUGACGAAAAAUACCAAGGUGAGGCUCAUUGAGUUUCGCCAUUGGAAUGAGUACAAUCUAAAUCUUUUAACGAGGAUCUAGUGGAGGGCAAGUCUGGUGCCAGCAGCCGCGGUAAUUCCAGCUCCGCAAGUGUAUUCCUAUACUGUUGCGGUUAAAAAGCUCGUAGUUGGAUCUGAGUGUUUAGCGCUUGGUGCAGUUCUGCUGUUACUGAGUGCGGCACAUAAUCGCCAAUUGGUUGCCAUUGUUUCCUUAACUGGUGAUGGUGGUUGACUGUUGGCAUGUUUACUUUGAACAAAUCAGAGUGCUCAAUACGGGCGUUUCGCUUGUAUGGUCUUUGCAUGGAA